rnacentral:rRNA from 1 species
CCUUUUUUAGUGGAUAUUCAAAGUCAGGAGGAAUGAGCUAUGAAGAGUUAUGAUCUGAUAAUCAAAAAUGCGCAGAUACACACAAUGGAUGAGGACAGAAAAGUGUAUGCGAAGGGAAUCAUAGGAAUAGAGGGAGAGAAGAUAACUCUGAUAAAGGAAAUGAAUGAGCUGACACCGGAGGAGCUUCAGGAAUGUGAGGGCGCCGGACGUGUGAUAGAUGCCGAGGGCAAGGUGGUAUUUCCGGGAUUUAUAGAUACACAUAUACAUAUAUUCCAGUCUUUCCUGAAAGGUCUUGGAGCUGAUCACAGAUUGAUAGAUUGGUUGAAUCUUUCAGCACUCCCAUAUGGACAGUACAUGACACCACAUCAGCAUGAGCUGGCAGCACAGCUUGCAUGUAUGGAGGCAAUAAAGAGUGGAUGUACGACCAUGAGUGAGUUCUUCUACACCAAUCAGGAUCCUGAACUGGCUCAUUCCUGUAUAGAGGGAAUGGUAUCAACGGGUAUCCGUAGUGUAUUUAUCAGAACAUUUCAGGAUACCGGAGAGGAAUACGGAAUGCCGAAGUGCUUUCUUGAGCCUGCUGGCAAGGCCAUGAAGGAAGUGGAUGCUCUGAAGAAAGCAUAUAAAGAAAAUGACAUGCUUUCGAUCUGGACCGGCCCGGAUGUUACAUGGUCGACCACGAAGGAAGGCUAUCAGGAGAUGCUUGAGUAUUGUCUCAGCGAGAACGUGAGAUAUUCAAUGCAUAUUAAGGAGACCGAGGUCGAUAAUGAGAUGUGUGGAAGAUAUUACGGCAAGGAUAUAGUAGACUUGCUUGAGGAGAUAGGUUUCCUAACAGACAAAUUCCUGGCAGUCCACUGCGUAAACCUCACACCUCAUGACAUAGAGAGAUUUGCAAAAUAUGGAGUGUCAAUAAGUCACAAUCCUGCACCUAACCUUUAUCUUGGUUCAGGAAUACCACCUAUUCCUGAAAGCCUUGCUACAGGGGUAAAUGUAUCUAUAGGAACGGAUGGUGCGGCAUCCAACAACAGCACGGACAUGCUGGAGAGUAUGAAGCUGGCGGCUCUCAUACAGAAGGGAAUACACAGAGAUGCGGCAAUCAUCAGCGCAGAUGAUAUCAUACACAUGGCGACGGCAGGGGGAGCAAAGGCAAUAGGAAUGGCUGAUAAGCUGGGGACAUUGGAGUCUGGCAAGAAUGCAGAUGUUAUAAUAUUUGACCCCUUGGUACUGGGAUUCGGUAUUGCAUGUACAGGCUAGGUGGGAGGCUGAGAAAUGGUGACGCCAGUUGCCAUGGAGCCAAUGUUGGGAUACCACCCUUGCAGUAUUGGGUUUCUAACCAGUCACCGUGACCCGGUGAUGGGACAAUGCCAGGCGGGGAGUUUGACUGGGGCGGUCGCCUCCGAAAGGGUAUCGGAGGCGCUCAAAGGUUCCCUCAGAAUGGUCGGAAACCAUUUGAAGAGUGCAAAGGCAGAAGGGAGCUUGACUGCGACACCGACGGGUGGAGCAGGUACGAAAGUAGGACUUAGUGAUCCGGUGGUAUAAAGUGGGAUUGCCAUCGCUCAACGGAUAAAAGCUACCCUGGGGAUAACAGGCUUAUCACUCCCAAGAGUUCACAUCGACGGAGUGGUUUGGCACCUCGAUGUCGGCUCAUCGCAUCCUGGGGCUGUAGUAGGUCCCAAGGGUUGGGCUGUUCGCCCAUUAAAGCGGUACGCGAGCUGGGUUCAGAACGUCGUGAGACAGUUCGGUCCCUAUCCGGCGCGGGCGGAGGAUAUUUGAGAGGAGCUGUCCUUAGUACGAGAGGACCGGGAUGGACGGACCACUGGUGUAUCUGUUGUCGACCAACGGCAUGGCAGAGUAGCCAAGUCUGGAAGGGAUAAACGCUGAAGGCAUCUAAGCGUGAAGCCCCCCUCAAGAUGAGAUAUCCCUCCUUCGGGAGUAAGACCCCUUGAAGACUACAAGGUAGAUAGGGCAGAGGUGGAAGCAUGGCAACAUGUGGAGCUGACUGUUACUAAUAGGUCGAGGGCUUAAUCU